rnacentral:rRNA from 1 species
AUUGAACGCUGGCGGCAGGCCUAACACAUGCAAGUCGAACGAGUGGCGGACGGGUGAGUAAUGUCUGGGAAACUGCCUGCUGGAGGGGGAUAACUCCUGGAAACUGUAGCUAAUAGCGCAUACCAUCAGAUGUGCCCAGAUGGGAUUAGCUUGUUGGUGGGGAAACGGCUCACAAAGGCGACGAUCCCUAGCUGGUCUGAGAGGAUGACCAGCAAAACGGGAACUUAGACACGGUCAAGACUCCUACGGGAGGCAGCAGUGGGAAAUAGUGCACAAUGGGCGCAAGCCUGAUGCAGCCAUGCCGCUGGUAUGAAGAUGUCCUUCGGGUUGUAAAGUACUUUCAGCGGGGAGGCGUUACCCGCAGAAGAAGCACCGGCUAACUCCGUGCCAGCCGCCGCGGUAAUAC